CACCGCGGUUAUACGAGAGGCCUAAGUUGAUAGGUACCGGCGUAAAGAGUGGUUAGGGGAAUCAUACACUAAAGCCGAAUACCCUCAAAGCUGUUAUACGCUACGAGGAAAGGAAGCCCUACUACGAAAGUGGCUUUAAUUAUCCUGACCCCACGAAAGCUGAGAAA
rnacentral:rRNA from 2 species